GUGGGGUGUCCCAGCACACGGUGUGUACGGGCUGUACGUGCAUUGGAAACAAGAGCUGGGUGGGGGAGGAGCAAGCCUGGAGGGGAGCAGGCUGACUCACAGAGCGCCCUUUUGCAGAGAUGGAGCCAAAGUCUCACAGGUUUGUCUGGCCCUGUGCCCUCUCCCCCAUACCAAAGCCAGGAUGGGGGCGGAGUGAGGGGCAGGUGUGUGCACAGGCAGAAGGUUAUCGGGGCCAUGGACUCAGCUUGGAACCCAAGGCACCACCUGGCACUAUGCAGGCUCUCCCUGGCACCACCCAGCUGCUUGCCAGCCAGCCUCAGCUAACCCUGGCCUGCUUCCCAGCUCCAGGCACAGAAGGGGAAAGGCAGGGGAGCUGGGGCCCCCAUGUCCUCUGGCUAAGAGGGAAAGCAGCUCAUGUAUACAUCCCUGACUCCACCAGGAAGCAGGUAAAGAGGUAGGGCGGGCUGCUAGGGGAGCCCGAGGGUGAGUUAAGUAAUGGGUAUGUGGGAGACAAACUUGAGCUUGAAUGAAAAGCAAGUGUAUGUGUCAGAGGGACUCUGAUAGGUUUAACCUAUAUUUAUUUUUCAUCACAUUACUCUCCUGCUCAAAAGCCUUCAUUGGCUCCCCACUGCGUGCCACGAUACGCACAUUGUGUACUUCUGACUUCCAAGUCUCUUCAAAACCUUGCCCAAGAGACCUUUCCAUCUUGUCUCCUACUACUCUCCCUCAUACUCUAGCCAAAUUAAACUAUUAUUUUUUUUCUCCAAACCUUUUUCCACCUUUGUUAAUCUAGUUCUUGCUCCCUGAAAUGCUAUUUACUAUUGCAUUCAACAAAUAUUUAUUUAGUACCACCAUAGGUCCAGCACUGGGCUAUGGACUAGGGACAUGGAAAUGAAUAAGACACGGUCCCUCAUUUUGGGAGGCUGAGGUGGGUGGAUUGCUUGAGUCCAGGAGUUCGAGACCAGCCCGGGCAACAUGGCCAAACCCUGUCUCUACUAGAAAUACAAAAAAUUAGCCAGGUGUAAUGGCAUGUGCCUGUAGUCCCAGCUACUCAGGAGGCUGAAAUGGGAUGAUCGCUUGAGCCGAGGCAGUUGAGGCUGCAGUGAGCUAAGAUUAUACCAUUGCACUCUGGCCUGGGUGACAGAGCAAGACCCUGUCUCAAAAAAAAAAAAACAAAAACAAAAACAAAAAAACACUACCUGCCCUGAGCAGCUCGCAGUCUAGUGAGUGAGGGCAAACCCUGUCAAUAUCAUAAUAUUCAGGGAAGAGAGAUGAAUUCUGCUUUAGAAGAUAAUAUAGAAGUAGGCAAAUUUGAUCAUGUCCUUGAAGAAAUACCAGUUCAAUUGGUAAAAACAAUAGGGAGAAUGAUAUUCUGGGCAAAGGGGAGGCAUAAAAUAUUAUGAGCAGGAGAGUGACAGAAUCCAAUUCUCAUAAUAGGUCAUGGUGAGGGCUUGAGGGCUAGUAUGGAGCACAGAUUGCAGGGGAAGACUGGAUGCAAGGAGAUGGGGUAGAAGAGUGUGAGGACCCCAAGAAUGGGCUUAGGCCUCUCAGUUUUUUUUUCUUUUUCUUUUCUUUUUUUUUUUCUUUCCAGCCCAGGCUGGAGUGCAGUGGCGUGAUCUCGGCCCACUGCAAUCUCCACCACCUCCCAGGUUCAAGCGAUUCUCUUGCCUCAGCCUCUUGAGUAGCUGGGACUACAAGCACCUGCCACCAUGCCCAGCUAAUUUUUGUAUUUUUGGUAGAGAUUGGGUUUUGCCAUAUUGGCCAGGCUUGUCUUGAACUCCUGACCUCAGGUGAUCUGCCUGCCUUGGCCUCCCAAAGUGCUGGGAUUACAGGCUGGUUUUUUUUCUAAUUAAUUAUUUUUAAAAUUUAUUUUAGAGAUGGGAUCUCACUAUGUUUCCCAGGCUGGAGGGCAGUGGCUAUUUAUAGGUGCAACCCUGCUACUGAUCAGCACUGGAGUUUUGAUCUCCAAUUUCCACCUGGGUCAGUUCAACCAUCCUUAGGCAACCAGGUUGAUGCAGAACUUAGUGCAGUCACCUGACUGGUAUACUACACUACAGCCCAGAACUCCUGGGAUCAAGUGAUCCUCCUGCCUCAGCCUCCCAAGUAGCUGGGACUACAGGCACGCGCCAUCACACCUGGCUAGUCUGCCUUUUUAACAAUUUAUUAAGCCUCCUCCAGUCCUCCAGGUGCUGUUCUAGGCCCUACAGAUGCAGCAUUGAAUAGAGAACAGCUCUACUGUUUUGUAGCUCACAUUCUAGUAAGGCUCCAUUGGCUUCAACAAACUAAAAGAGAAUAAGGCCAUUUCAGGUCCAUAUCUAGGGCUAAUAUUCAGUAGGCACACACCAAUAUGGUUGUGUAGGUUAAUUAAAUAUAUUAAGAUGUUUCUAAUCCUGUUGGCAUAUAGCCAUGGCCCCUGGCUCCAGGGUACCCCUGCUACCCUAGCUCUUCCUUAGGGACCCUCCAGACCUCCUGAUCCCUUAUCUAAAGAGGUAUUCCCUGGCAUAACAGAGUCCCCAGGAGCCCACUUGAGUGCCUCAGCCACCUUCAACUCUGAUGGGUCAGUGCUUGUGCACUUGCUGCUGUGUUACAAAUAGUUUUACUGGCCGGGUGCGGUGGCUCACGCCUCUAAUACCAGCACUUUGGGAGGCCGAGGCGUGCAGAUCACCUGAGGUCAGGAGUUCCAAGACCAGCCUGGCCAACAUGGCAAAACCUGUCUCUACUAAAAAUACAAAAAUUCGCUGGGCAUGCUGGCAGGCACCUGUAAUCUCAGCUACUCAGGAGGCUGAGGCAGGAGAAUCACUUGAACCUGGGAGGCAGAGGUUGCAGUGAGCCGAGAUCGUGCCACUGCACUCCAGCCUGGUCAACAGAGUGAAACUCUGUCUCAAAACAAACAAACAAACAAACAAACAAAAAUCCUGGCUAACAGAGUGAAACCCCGUCUCUACUGAAAAUAUAAAAAAAAAAAAAUUAGCCGGGCGUGGCGGCGAGUGCCUGUAGUCCCAGCUACUCGGGAAGCUGAGGCAGGAGAAUGACGUGAACCCGGGAGGCGGAGCUUGUAGUGAGCUGAGAUUGUGCCACUGCACUCCAGCCUGGGCGACAAAGUGAGACUCCGUUUCAAAAAAAAAAAAAGUUUUACUGUCCUCCCUGUCUAAUCUCUUCUAUUCUUUGAGACUCAGAUGAAAGGCCCCCUCCUUCAGGAAACUCCUUAACCAACCCUCUACCACUAGUCUGGAAAAGAUCCCUGGCAUCUUUGAGCCAACCCAGUUCUUUGCCUGCCCUCAAUAAUAACCUUGUCCACCAUCUAACUCAUAUAAGGGUGAUUUAUGACAUUUUAUCUGCUCUAACGGCCUUCAGCUCCAUAAGGGCAGGGUCCAGUACUUGAUUGAGUCAGUCUUUUAUUCAACAGCCAUUAUUGAGCAUUUUCUCUUUGUAGAUUACCUUGCCAGGUGCUUGAGAAAUACCAAAUUGACUAAGAUAUAUUCUCUGCCCUCAGGGAGCUCAUUGUCAAUGACCUAUGCCUGUCAAACCACAACUAUCCCAUAAACAUGACAUAACUUUUGACAUUAUUAUUAUUUUUGAGACAAGGUCUUACUCUGUCACCCAGACUGGAGUACAGUGGCGUCAUAGCUCACUGCAGGCUCGACCUCCCAGGCUCAAGUGAUCCCCCCGCCUCAGCCUCCUGAGUAGCUAGGACCACAGGCACAAGCCACCACCCCUGGCUAAUUUUUUAAAUUUGUUUUGUAGAGACGGGGUUUCGCUAUAUUGCCCAGGUUAGUCUUGAACUCUUGACCUCAAGUGAUCCUCUGACCUCAAGUGAUCCUCCCACCUCAGCCUCCAAAAGGGUUGGGAUUAUAGGCGUGAGCCACCAUGCCUGGCCCAACACCACAUUUUUGUGUCACUCCAAAUCAUCUGUGUUGUCAGAUGACUGUCAUAUUAUACAACAAAAUAUAUAUGGCUGAAUAACAGCUGUCCUCCAAAUGGUCAUCCUCAGAUGUAGUCAGCCUAAGAUUCUAGGGUGCAAUUUCUGGAGCCAAAUUCAGAGCUCUCCAUGGCAGUGUGGUCCAGGGUACACUCUGGAUGGCCGGCUGAUUGUCUCGGUCAGCUCUGUCAUUAGCUUGGAUCUUGCUUGGCCCCUGACACAUGGAAGUACAUGGUAAUAUCUGAAUUGGAUGGGCCUAUACAAGACAGAAUGUGGUAACAACUAAUCUAGCUCUCUGUUACAGCUCACUCAUUUUCCAAAUGCGAUUCCCUAUGGCUCUGUUUCUCUGUCUCUCUCGUCUCUGGUCUGAGUGGAGAAUGUGGACUCUGACCCUGGAUCAUGCUGGGCGUCUGCCAAACCCUCAAACAGGAUAAGGUUCACAGUACCUGACGUGGCCUUCAGCGGGCCGCCAUUGCCUUGGUUUCCAUGGCGGGCUUGUGACCUAGGGAGGUCCAAUCAGUGAAGCUCUCUGUCUGAAGUAUUUGAUGGCUAAGGGAACCAAUUCUGCGGACAACACAUAAAGAAGCACACAGCCAUUGUAACUGUGGGCAGCCAUCUUGACCCACAAUGGAAGCCAGCCUUAAGAUGAAGGUAAAACCAUGGAAGGCACGGUGGAGUGGUGGAAAGAGGUCCUUGGUAACAUGAUUGAGCUGCUGGAUUAGGCCAACACUAGGGCCCACCUGCUUCUGGACUUUUCAGUUGCAUGAGUCAAUAAAUUAUCUUAAUGUUUA